ensembl:lncRNA
AUCUUGUCCCACUGCCACGGGGAGUUUAUUUUUGCUCAAGGGCAGCUGCCAAACCCAGCACCAGCAUCAAUAGAAGGAUGCUGGCAAGAAAGAUGGAGCCUUCCACCAGUCUUGACCAACCCCAGGGAUACAGCCUCUGCCAGCAUCCUGAGAAGCGAACUCGGGUGCUGAACAAUUCAGCAUGUGUGUGGAACAUCUACUGUGCUUGAAUGAACCAUCAUUUGGAGCCGAAGCUAAGUUGAGAAUACAAGACCCUCUGACAGCCACUUAAGGGAACAACCAUCAUUUCCAGAUUGGCAUAAUCUUUCACUCUGAUAUCUCUUGGAGAAUCUAAAUUGUCUUUGUAGAUAGUCCAUAAAGCUGUUUUUCAGACUCAGUCUGUAAGAGAUGCCGGAGGCAGCCUCUCCCCCCCACCAAAGACACUGCAAGUCCCUGGGACGGUGCAGCAGCAAAUCGCCAACAUCACCACUUGUUGAAGCCACCGUUUUAGACCCAACCUAAUAGCUCCUUUGUGCUAUACCAUGAGGAACCUGGUUCUAGUGUGAGGCCACAGCUGAUAUUUAUCUCGUGUCUUCAGUGUGCAGUUUUAUAUUAAGAGGAUGAGGUUGGUGGGUUCUCUGGUUACUAUCAUACAUGUAUUAUUUGUGAAACCAAAGGGAAAGUGAAGUUGCUCAGUCGUGUCCGACUCUUUGCGACCCCAUGGACUAUAGCCUACCAGGCUCCUCCAUCCAUGGAAUUUUCCAGGCAAGAAUACUGGAGUGGGUUGCCAUCUCCUUCUCCAGGGGAUCUUCC